rnacentral:lncRNA from 1 species
CUGGUUCAACUCCAGCUCCAAGCACCAGAUUUCAUUUGUAUAUGCACUGUUCAUCCUUUUUCAUUGACCAGGUGGCUUGAUUGUUGUUUUGGCAAAGUGUGUCGCCGAAGCCACUAUGUUUUCUGCGAUUUUAUCUAUAAGUACCUUCAUAGCUCAGUUGGUAGAGCACAUGACUUGAAGAACUUCCUGAAACGCUGUGGUCCAAAGGUCCCUGGUUCAACUCCAGCUCCAAGCACCAGAUUUCAUUUGUAUAUGCACUGUUCAUCCUUUUUCAUUGACCAGGUGGCUUGAUUGUUGUGUUGGCAAAGUGUGUCGCCGAAGCCACUAUGUUUUCUGCGUUUUUAUCUAUAAGCACCUUCAUAGCUCAGUUGGUAGAGCACAUGACUUUAAGAAGUUCCUGAAACGCUGUGGUCCAAAGGACGCUGGUUCAACUCCUGCUCCAAACACCAGAUUUCAUUGGUCUACGCACUGUUCAACCUUUUUCAUUGACCAUGUUGGUUCAAUAGUUAUGUUGGCAAAGUGUGUCGCCGAAGCCACUAUGUUUUCUGCGUUUCUAUCUAUAAGCACCUUCAUAGCUCAGUUGGUAGAGCACAUGACUUUCAGAAGUUCCUGAAAUGCUGUGGUCCAAAGGUCGCUGGUUCAACUCCAGCUCCAAGCACCGGAUUUCAUUUGUAUAUGCACUGUUCAUCCUUUUUCAUUGACCAGGUGGCUUGAUUGUUGUUUUGGCAAAGUGUGUCGCCGAAGCCACUAUGUUUUCUGCGAUUUUAUCUAUAACUACCUUCAUAGCUCAGUUGGUAGAGCACAUGACUUUAAGAAGUUCCUGAAACGCUGUGGUCCAAAGGUCGCUGGUUCAACUCCAGCUCCAAGCACCAGAUUUCAUUUGUAUAUGCACUGUUCAUCCUUUUUCAUUGACCAGGUGGCUUGAUUGUUGUUUUGGCAAAGUGUGUCGCCGAAGCCACUAUGUUUUCUGCGUUUUCAUCUAUAAGCACCUUCAUAGCUCAGUUGGUAGAGCACAUGACUUUAAGAAGUUCCUGAAACGCUGUGGUCCAAAGGUCGCUGGUUCAACUCCUGCUCCAAACACCAGAUUUCAUUGGUCUAUGCACUGUGCAACCUUUUUCAUUGACCAUGUUGGUUCAAUAGUUAUGUUGGCAAAGUGUGUCGCCGAAGCCACUAUGUUUUCUGCGUUUUUAUCUAUAAGCACCUUCAUAGCUCAGUUGGUAGAGCACAUGACUUUAAGAAGUUCCUGAAAUGCUGUGGUCCAAAGGUCGCUGGUUCAACUCCAGCUCCAAGCACCAGAUUUCAUUUGUAUAUGCACUGUUCAUCCUUUUUCAUUGACCAGGUGGCUUGAUUGUUGUUUUGGCAAAGUGUGUCGCCGAAGCCACUAUGUUUUCUGCGAUUUUAUCUAUAAGUACCUUCAUAGCUCAGUUGGUAGAGCACAUGACUUGAAGAAGUUCCUGAAACGCUGUGGUCCAAAGGUCCCUGGUUCAACUCCAGCUCCAAGCACCAGAUUUCAUUUGUAUAUGCACUGUUCAUCCUUUUUCAUUGACCAGGUGGCUUGAUUGUUGUGUUGGCAAAGUGUGUCGCCGAAGCCACUAUGUUUUCUGCGUUUUUAUCUAUAAGCACCUUCAUAGCUCAGUUGGUAGAGCACAUGACUUUAAGAAGUUCCUGAAACGCUGUGGUCCAAAGGACGCUGGUUCAACUCCUGCUCCAAACACCAGAUUUAAUUGGUCUAUGCACUGUUCAACCUUUUUCAUUGACCAUGUUGGUUCAAUAGUUAUGUUGGCAAAGUGUGUCGCCGAAGCCACUAUGUUUUCUGCGUUUUUAUCUAUAAGCACCUUCAUAGCUCAGUUGGUAGAGCACAUGACUUUAAGAAGUUCCUGAAAUGCUGUGGUCCAAAGGUCGCUGGUUCAACUCCAGCUCCAAGCACCGGAUUUCAUUUGUAUAUGCACUGUUCAUCCUUUUUCAUUGACCAGGUGGCUUGAUUGUUGUUUUGGCAAAGUGUGUCGCCGAAGCCACUAUGUUUUCUGCGACUUUAUCUAUAACUACCUUCAUAGCUCAGUUGGUAGAGCACAUGACUUUAAGAAGUUCCUGAAACGCUGUGGUCCAAAGGUCGCUGGUUCAACUCCAGCUCCAAGCACCAGAUUUCAUUUGUAUAUGCACUGUUCAUCCUUUUUCAUUGACCAGGUGGCUUGAUUGUUUUUUUGGCAAAGUGUGUCGCCCAAGCCACUAUGUUUUUUUCGUUUUUAUCUAUAAGCACCUUCAUAGCUCAGUUGGUAGAGCACAUGACUUUAAGAAGUUCCUGAAACGCUGUGGUCCAAAGGUCGCUGGUUCAACUCCUGCUCCAAACACCAGAUUUCAUUGGUCAAUGCACUGUUCAACCUUUUUCAUUGACCAUGUUGGUUCAAUAGUUAUGUUGGCAAAGUGUGUCGCCGAAGCCACUAUGUUUUCUGCGUUUUUAUCUAUAAGCACCUUCAUAGCUCAGUUGGUAGAGCACAUGACUUUAAGAAGUUCCUGAAAUCCUGUGGUCCAAAGCUCGCUGGUUCAACUCCAGCUCCAAGCACCAGAUUUCAUUUGUAUAUGCACUGUUCAUCCUUUUUCAUUGACCAGGUGGCUUGAUUGUUGUUUUGGCAAAGUGUGUCGCCGAAGCCACUAUGUUUUCUGCGAUUUUAUCUAUAAGUACCUUCAUAGCUCAGUUGGUAGAGCACAUGUGUUUAAGAAGUUCCUGAAACGCUGUGGUCCAAAGGUCGCUGGUUCAACUCCUGCUCCAAACACCAGAUUUCAUUGGUGUAUGCACUGUUCAACCUUUUUCAUUGACCAUGUUGGUUCAAUAGUUAUGUUGGCAAAGUGUGUCGCCGAAGCCACUAUGUUUUCUGCGUUUUUAUCUAUAAGUACCUUCAUAGCUCAGUUGGUAGAGCACAUGACUUGAAGAAGUUCCUGAAACGCUGUGGUCCAAAGGUUGCUGGUUCAACUCCUGCUCCAAACACCAGAUUUCAAUGGUCUAUGCACUGUUCAACCUUUUUCAUUGACCAGGUGGCUUGAUUGUUGUGUUCGCAAAGUGUGUCGCCGAAGCCACUAUGUUUUCUGCGGUUGUAUCUAUAAGCACCUUCAUAGCUCAGUUGGUACAGCACAUGACUUUAAGAAGUUCCUGAAACGCUGUGGUCCAAAGGUCGCUGGUUCAACUCCUGCUCCAAACACCAGAUUUCAUUUGUAUAUGCACUGUUCACCCUUUUUCAUUGACCAGGUGGCUUGAUUGUUGUGUUGGCAAAGUGUGUCGCCGAAGCCACUAUGUUUUCUGCGUUUUUAUCUAUAAGCACCUUCAUAGCUCAGUUGGUAGAGCACAUGACUUUAUGAAGUUCCUGAAACGCUGUGGUCCAAAGGAUGCUGGUUCAACUCCUGCUCCAAACACCAGAUUUCAUUGGUCUACGCACUGUUCAACCUUUUUCAUUGACCAUGUUGGUUCAAUAGUUAUGUUGGCAAAGUGUGUCGCCGAAGCCACUAUGUUUUCUGCGUUUCUAUCUAUAAGCACCUUCAUAGCUCAGUUGGUAGAGCACAUGACUUUCAGAAGUUCCUGAAAUGCUGUGGUCCAAAGGUCGCUGGUUCAACUCCAGCUCCAAGCACCGGAUUUCAUUUGUAUAUGCACUGUUCAUCCUUUUUCAUUGACCAGGUGGCUUGAUUGUUGUUUUGGCAAAGUGUGUCGCCGAAGCCACUAUGUUUUCUGCGAUUUUAUCUAUAACUACCUUCAUAGCUCAGUUGGUAGAGCACAUGACUUUAAGAAGUUCCUGAAACGCUGUGGUCCAAAGGUCGCUGGUUCAACUCCAGCUCCAAGCACCAGAUUUCAUUUGUAUAUGCACUGUUCAUCCUUUUUCAUUGACCAGGUGGCUUGAUUGUUGUUUUGGCAAAGUGUGUCGCCGAAGCCACUAUGUUUUCUGCGUUUUCAUCUAUAAGCACCUUCAUAGCUCAGUUGGUAGAGCACAUGACUUUAAGAAGUUCCUGAAACGCUGUGGUCCAAAGGUCGCUGGUUCAACUCCUGCUCCAAACACCAGAUUUCAUUGGUCUAUGCACUGUGCAACCUUUUUCAUUGACCAUGUUGGUUCAAUAGUUAUGUUGGCAAAGUGUGUCGCCGAAGCCACUAUGUUUUCUGCGUUUUUAUCUAUAAGCACCUUCAUAGCUCAGUUGGUAGAGCACAUGACUUUAAGAAGUUCCUGAAAUGCUGUGGUCCAAAGGUCGCUGGUUCAACUCCAGCUCCAAGCACCAGAUUUCAUUUGUAUAUGCACUGUUCAUCCUUUUUCAUUGACCAGGUGGCUUGAUUGUUGUUUUGGCAAAGUGUGUCGCCGAAGCCACUAUGUUUUCUGCGAUUUUAUCUAUAAGUACCUUCAUAGCUCAGUUGGUAGAGCACAUGACUUGAAGAACUUCCUGAAACGCUGUGGUCCAAAGGUCCCUGGUUCAACUCCAGCUCCAAGCACCAGAUUUCAUUUGUAUAUGCACUGUUCAUCCUUUUUCAUUGACCAGGUGGCUUGAUUGUUGUGUUGGCAAAGUGUGUCGCCGAAGCCACUAUGUUUUCUGCGUUUUUAUCUAUAAGCACCUUCAUAGCUCAGUUGGUAGAGCACAUGACUUUAAGAAGUUCCUGAAACGCUGUGGUCCAAAGGACGCUGGUUCAACUCCUGCUCCAAACACCAGAUUUCAUUGGUCUACGCACUGUUCAACCUUUUUCAUUGACCAUGUUGGUUCAAUAGUUAUGUUGGCAAAGUGUGUCGCCGAAGCCACUAUGUUUUCUGCGUUUCUAUCUAUAAGCACCUUCAUAGCUCAGUUGGUAGAGCACAUGACUUUCAGAAGUUCCUGAAAUGCUGUGGUCCAAAGGUCGCUGGUUCAACUCCAGCUCCAAGCACCGGAUUUCAUUUGUAUAUGCACUGUUCAUCCUUUUUCAUUGACCAGGUGGCUUGAUUGUUGUUUUGGCAAAGUGUGUCGCCGAAGCCACUAUGUUUUCUGCGAUUUUAUCUAUAACUACCUUCAUAGCUCAGUUGGUAGAGCACAUGACUUUAAGAAGUUCCUGAAACGCUGUGGUCCAAAGGUCGCUGGUUCAACUCCAGCUCCAAGCACCAGAUUUCAUUUGUAUAUGCACUGUUCAUCCUUUUUCAUUGACCAGGUGGCUUGAUUGUUGUUUUGGCAAAGUGUGUCGCCGAAGCCACUAUGUUUUCUGCGUUUUCAUCUAUAAGCACCUUCAUAGCUCAGUUGGUAGAGCACAUGACUUUAAGAAGUUCCUGAAACGCUGUGGUCCAAAGGUCGCUGGUUCAACUCCUGCUCCAAACACCAGAUUUCAUUGGUCUAUGCACUGUGCAACCUUUUUCAUUGACCAUGUUGGUUCAAUAGUUAUGUUGGCAAAGUGUGUCGCCGAAGCCACUAUGUUUUCUGCGUUUUUAUCUAUAAGCACCUUCAUAGCUCAGUUGGUAGAGCACAUGACUUUAAGAAGUUCCUGAAAUGCUGUGGUCCAAAGGUCGCUGGUUCAACUCCAGCUCCAAGCACCAGAUUUCAUUUGUAUAUGCACUGUUCAUCCUUUUUCAUUGACCAGGUGGCUUGAUUGUUGUUUUGGCAAAGUGUGUCGCCGAAGCCACUAUGUUUUCUGCGAUUUUAUCUAUAAGUACCUUCAUAGCUCAGUUGGUAGAGCACAUGACUUGAAGAAGUUCCUGAAACGCUGUGGUCCAAAGGUCCCUGGUUCAACUCCAGCUCCAAGCACCAGAUUUCAUUUGUAUAUGCACUGUUCAUCCUUUUUCAUUGACCAGGUGGCUUGAUUGUUGUGUUGGCAAAGUGUGUCGCCGAAGCCACUAUGUUUUCUGCGUUUUUAUCUAUAAGCACCUUCAUAGCUCAGUUGGUAGAGCACAUGACUUUAAGAAGUUCCUGAAACGCUGUGGUCCAAAGGACGCUGGUUCAACUCCUGCUCCAAACACCAGAUUUAAUUGGUCUAUGCACUGUUCAACCUUUUUCAUUGACCAUGUUGGUUCAAUAGUUAUGUUGGCAAAGUGUGUCGCCGAAGCCACUAUGUUUUCUGCGUUUUUAUCUAUAAGCACCUUCAUAGCUCAGUUGGUAGAGCACAUGACUUUAAGAAGUUCCUGAAAUGCUGUCGUCCAAAGGUCGCUGGUUCAACUCCAGCUCCAAGCACCGGAUUUCAUUUGUAUAUGCACUGUUCAUCCUUUUUCAUUGACCAGGUGGCUUGAUUGUUGUUUUGGCAAAGUGUGUCGCCGAAGCCACUAUGUUUUCUGCGACUUUAUCUAUAACUACCUUCAUAGCUCAGUUGGUAGAGCACAUGACUUUAAGAAGUUCCUGAAACGCUGUGGUCCAAAGGUCGCUGGUUCAACUCCAGCUCCAAGCACCAGAUUUCAUUUGUAUAUGCACUGUUCAUCCUUUUUCAUUGACCAGGUGGCUUGAUUGUUUUUUUGGCAAAGUGUGUCGCCCAAGCCACUAUGUUUUUUUCGUUUUUAUCUAUAAGCACCUUCAUAGCUCAGUUGGUAGAGCACAUGACUUUAAGAAGUUCCUGAAACGCUGUGGUCCAAAGGUCGCUGGUUCAACUCCUGCUCCAAACACCAGAUUUCAUUGGUCUAUGCACUGUUCAACCUUUUUCAUUGACCAGGUGGCUUGAUUGUUGUGUUCGCAAAGUGUGUCGCCGAAGCCACUAUGUUUUCUGCGGUUGUAUCUAUAAGCACCUUCAUAGCUCAGUUGGUAGAGCACAUGACUUUAAGAAGUUCCUGAAACGCUGUGGUCCAAAGGUCGCUGGUUCAACUCCAGCUCCAAGCACCAGAUUUCAUUUGUAUGUGCACUGUUCAUCCUUUUUCAUUGACCAGGUGGCUUGAUUGUUGUUUUGGCAAAGUGUGUCGCCCAAGCCACUAUGUUUUCUGCGUUUUUAUCUAUAAGCACCUUCAUAGCUCAUUUGGUAGAGCACAUGACUUUAAGAAAUUCUUGAAACGCUGUGGUCCAAAGGUCGCUGGUUCAACUCCUGCUCCAAUCACCAGAUUUCAUUGGUCUAUGCACUGUUCUACCUUUUUCAUUGACCAGGUGGCUUGAUUGUUGUGUUGGCAAAGUGUGUCGCCGAAGCCACUAUGUUUUCUGCGUUUUCAUCUAUAAGCACCUUCAUAGCUCAGUUGGUAGAGCACAUGACUGUAAGAAGUUCCUGAAACGCUGUGCUCCAAAGCUCCCUGGUUCAACUCCAGCUCCAAGCACCAGAUUUCAUUUGUAUAUGCACUGUUCAUCCUUUUUCAUUGACCAGGUGGCUUGAUUGUUGUGUUGGCAAAGUGUGUCGCCGAAGCCACUAUGUUUUCCGCGUUUUCAUCUAUAAGCACCUUCAUAGCUCAGUUGGUAGAGCACAUGACUUUAAGAAGUUCCUGAAAUGCUGUGGUCCAAAGGUCGCUGGUUCAACUCCAGCUCCAAGCACCGGAUUUCAUUUGUAUAUGCACUGUUCAUCCUUUUUCAUUGACCAGGUGGCUUGAUUGUUGUUUUGGCAAAGUGUGUCGCCGAAGCCACUAUGUUUUCUGCGAUUUUAUCUAUAAGUACCUUCAUAGCUCAGUUGGUAGAGCACAUGACUUUAAGAAGUUCCUGAAACGCUGUGGUCCAAAGGUCGCUGGUUCAACUCCAGCUCCAAGCACCGGAUUUCAUUUGUAUGUGCACUGUUCAUCCUUUUUCAUUGACCAGGUGGCUUGAUUGUUGUUUUGGCAAAGUGUGUCGCUGAAGCCACUAUGUUUUCUGCGUUUUUAUCUAUAAGCACCUUCAUAGCUCAGUUGGUAGAGCACAUGACUUUAAGAAGUUCCUGAAACGCUGUGGUCCAAAGGUCGCCGGUCCAACUCCUGCUCCAAACAUCAGAUUUCAUUGGGCUAUGCACUGUUCAACCUUUUUCAUUGACCAGGUGGCUUGAUUGUUGUGUUCGCAAAGUGUGUCGCCGAAGCCACUAUGUUUUCUGCGGUUGUAUCUAUAAGCACCUUCAUAGCUCAGUUGGUAGAGCACAUGACUUUAAGAAGUUCCUGAAACGCUGUGGUCCAAAGGUCGCUGGUUCAACUCCAGCUCCAAGCACCAGAUUUCAUUUGUAUGUGCACUGUUCAUCCUUUUUCAUUGACCAGGUGGCUUGAUAGUUGUUUUGGCAAAGUGUGUCGCCGAAGCCACUAUGUUUUCUGCGUUUUUAUCUAUAAGCACCUUCAUAGCUCAUUUGGUAGAGCACAUGACUUUAAGAAAUUCUUGAAACGCUGUGGUCCAAAGGUCGCUGUUUCAACUCCUGCUCCAAUCACCAGAUUUCAUUGGUCUAUGCACUGUUCAACCUUUUUCAUUGACCAGGUGGCUUGAUUGUUGUGUUGGCAAAGUGUGUCGCCGAAGCCACUAUGUUUUCUGCGUUUUCAUCUAUAAGCACCUUCAUAGCUCAGUUGGUAGAGCACAUGACUGUAAGAAGUUCCUGAAACGCUGUGCUCCAAAGCUCCCUGGUUCAACUCCAGCUCCAAGCACCAGAUUUCAUUUGUAUAUGCACUGUUCAUCCUUUUUCAUUGACCAGGUGGCUUGAUUGUUGUGUUGGCAAAGUGUGUCGCCGAAGCCACUAUGUUUUCCGCGUUUUCAUCUAUAAGCACCUUCAUAGCUCAGUUGGUAGAGCACAUGACUUUAAGAAGUUCCUGAAACGCUGUGGUCCAAAAGUCGCUGGUUCAACUCCAGCUCCAAGCACCGGAUUUCAUUUGUAUAUGCACUGUUCAUGCUUUUUCAUUGACCAGGUGGCUUGAUUGUUGUGUUCGCAAAGUGUGUCGCCGAAGCCACUAUGUUUUCUGCGAUUUUAUCUAUAAGUACCUUCAUAGCUCAGUUGGUAGAGCACAUGACUUUAAGAAGUUCCUGAAAUGCUGUGGUCCAAAGGUCGCUGGUUCAACUCCAGCUCCAAGCACCGGAUUUCAUAUGUAUGUGCACUGUUCAUCCUUUUUCAUUGACCAGGUGGCUUGAUUGUUGUUUUGGCAAAGUGUGUCGCCGAAGCCACUAUUUUUUCUGCGUUUUUAUCUAUAAGCACCUUCAUAGCUCAGUUGGUAGAGCACAUGACUUUAAGAAGUUCCUGAAACGCUGUGGUCCAAAGGUCGCCCGUCCAACUCCUGCUCCAAACAUCAGAUUUCAUUGGUCUAUGCACUGUUCAUCCUUUUUCAUUGACCAGGUGGCUUGAUUGUUGUGUUCGCAAAGUGUGUCGCCGAAGCCACUAUGUUUUCCGCGUUUUCAUCUAUGAGCACCUUCAUAGCUCAGUUGGUAGAGCACAUGACUUUAAGAAGUUCCUGAAACGCUGUGGUCCAAAGGUCGCUGGUUCAACUCCAGCUCCAAGCACCAGAUUUCAUUUGUAUGUGCACUGUUCAUCCUUUUUCAUUGACCAGGUGGCUUGAUUGUUGUUUUGGCAAAGUGUGUCGCCGAAGCCACUAUGUUUUCUGCGUUUUUAUCUAUAAGCACCUUCAUAGCUCAUUUGGUAGAGCACAUGACUUUAAGAAGUUCUUGAAACGCUGUGGUCCAAAGGUCGCUGGUUCAACUCCUGCUCCAAACACCAGAUUUCAUUGGUCUAUGCACUGUUCAACCUUUUUCAUUGACCAGGUGGCUUGAUUGUUGUGUUGGCAAAGUGUGUCGCCGAAGCCACUAUGUUUUCUGCGUUUUCAUCUAUAAGCACCUUCAUAGCUCAGUUGGUAGAGCACAUGACUGUAAGAAGUUCCUGAAACGCUGUGGUCCAAAGGUCCCUGGUUCAACUCCAGCUCCAAGCACCAGAUUUCGUUUGUAUAUGCACUGUUCAUCCUUUUUCAUUGACCAGGUGGCUUCAUUGUUGUGUUGGCAAAGUGUGUCGCCGAAGCCACUAUGUUUUCUGCGUAUUUAUCUAUAAGCACCUUCAUAGCUCAUUUGGUAGAGCACAUGACUUUAAGAAGUUCCUGAAACGCUGUGGUCCAAAGGACGCUGGUUCAACUCCUGCUCCAAGCACCAGAUUUCAUUGGUCUAUGCACAGUUCAACCUUUUUCAUUGACCAUGUUGGUUCAAUAGUUAUGUUGGCAAAGUGUGUCGCCGAAGCCACUAUGUUUUCUGCGUUUUUAUCUAUAAGCACCUUCAUAGCUCAGUUGGUAGAGAACAUGACUUUAAGAAGUUCCUGAAACGCUGUGGUCCAAAGGUCGCUAGUUCAACUCCAGCUCCAAGCACCGGAUUUCAUUUGUAUGUGCACUGUUCAUCCUUUUUCAUUGACCAGGUGGCUUGAUUGUUGUUUUGGCAAAGUGUGUCGCUGAAGCCACUAUGUUUUCUGCGUUUUUAUCUAUAAGCACCUUCAUAGCUCAGUUGGUAGAGCACAUGACUUUAAGAAGUUCCUGAAACGCUGUGGUCCAAAGGUCGCCGGUCCAACUCCUGCUCCAAACAUCAGAUUUCAUUGGUCUAUGCACUGUUCAACCUUUUUCAUUGACCAGGUGGCUUGAUUGUUGUUUUGGCAAAGUGUGUCGCCGAAGCCACUAUGUUUUCUGCGGUUGUAUCUAUAAGCACCUUCAUAGCUCAGUUGGUAGAGCACAUGACUUUAAGAAUUUCCUGAAACGCUGUGGUCCAAAGGUCGCUGGUUCAACUCCAGCUCCAAGCACCAGAUUUCGUUUGUAUAUGCACUGUUCAUCCUUUUUCAUUGACCAGGUGGCUUCAUUGUUGUGUUGGCAAAGUGUGUCGCCGAAGCCACUAUGUUUUCUGCGUAUUUAUCUAUAAGCACCUUCAUAGCUCAUUUGGUAGAGCACAUGACUUUAAGAAGUUCCUGAAACGCUGUGGUCCAAAGGUCGCUGGUUCAACUCCAGCUCCAAGCACCAGAUUUCGUUUGUAUAUGCACUGUUCAUCCUUUUUCAUUGACCAGGUGGCUUCAUUGUUGUGUUGGCAAAGUGUGUCGCCGAAGCCACUAUGUUUUCUGCGUAUUUAUCUAUAAGCACCUUCAUAGCUCAUUUGGUAGAGCACAUGACUUUAAGAAGUUCCUGAAACGCUGUGGUCCAAAGGACGCUGGUUCAACUCCUGCUCCAAGCACCAGAUUUCAUUGGUCUAUGCACAGUUCAACCUUUUUCAUUGACCAUGUUGGUUCAAUAGUUAUGUUGGCAAAGUGUGUCGCCGAAGCCACUAUGUUUUCUGCGGUUGUAUCUAUAAGCACCUUCAUAGCUCAGUUGGUAGAGCACAUGACUUUAAGAAGUUCCUGAAACGCUGUGGUCCAAAGGUCGCUGGUUCAACUCCAGCUCCAAGCACCAGAUUUCAUUUGUAUGUGCACUGUUCAUCCUUUUUCAUUGACCAGGUGGCUUGAUUGUUGUUUUGGCAAAGUGUGUCGCCCAAGCCACUAUGUUUUCUGCGUUUUUAUCUAUAAGCACCUUCAUAGCUCAUUUGGUAGAGCACAUGACUUUAAGAAGUUCUUGAAACGCUGUGGUCCAAAGGUCGCUGGUUCAACUCCUGCUCCAAUCACCAGAUUUCAUUGGUCUAUGCACUGUUCAACCUUUUUCAUUGACCAGGUGGCUUGAUUGUUGUGUUGGCAAAGUGUGUCGCCGAAGCCACUAUGUUUUCUGCGUUUUCAUCUAUAAGCACCUUCAUAGCUCAGUUGGUAGAGCACAUGACUGUAAGAAGUUCCUGAAACGCUGUGCUCCAAAGCUCCCUGGUUCAACUCCAGCUCCAAGCACCAGAUUUCAUUUGUAUAUGCACUGUUCAUCCUUUUUCAUUGACCAGGUGGCUUGAUUGUUGUGUUGGCAAAGUGUGUCGCCGAAGCCACUAUUUUUUCUGCGUUUUCAUCUAUAAGCACCUUCAUAGCUCAGUUGGUAGAGCACAUGACUUUAAGAAGUUCCUGAAACGCUGUGGUCCAAAGGUCGCUGGUUCAACUCCAGCUCCAAGCACCGGAUUUCAUUUGUAUAUGCACUGUUCAUCCUUUUUCAUUGACCAGGUGGCUUGAUUGUUGUUUUGGCAGAGUGUGUCGCCGAAGCCACUAUGUUUUCUGCGAUUUUAUCUAUAAGUACCUUCAUAGCUCAGUUGGUAGAGCACAUGACUUUAAGAAGUUCCUGAAACGCUGUGGUCCAAAGGUCGCUGGUUCAACUCCAGCUCCAAGCACCGGAUUUCAUUUGUAUGUGCACUGUUCAUCCUUUUUCAUUGACCAGGUGGCUUGAUUGUUGUUUUGGCAAAGUGUGUCGCCGAAGCCACUAUGUUUUCUGCGUUUUUAUCUAUGAGCACCUUCAUAGCUCAGUUGGUAGAGCACAUGACUUUAAGAAGUUCCUGAAACGCUGUGGUCCAAAGGUCGCCGGUCCAACUCCUGCUCCAAACAUCAGAUUUCAUUGGUCUAUGCACUGUUCAUCCUUUUUCAUUGACCAGGUGGCUUGAUUGUUGUGUUCGCAAAGUGUGUCGCCGAAGCCACUAUGUUUUCCGCGUUUUCAUCUAUGAGCACCUUCAUAGCUCAGUUGGUAGAGCACAUGACUUUAAGAAGUUCCUGAAACGCUGUGGUCCAAAGGUCGCUGGUUCAACUCCAGCUCCAAGCACCAGAUUUCAUUUGUAUGUGCACUGUUCAUCCUUUUUCAUUGACCAGGUGGCUUGAUUGUUGUUUUGGCAAAGUGUGUCGCCGAAGCCACUAUGUUUUCUGCGUUUUUAUCUAUAAGCACCUUCAUAGCUCAUUUGGUAGAGCACAUGACUUUAAGAAGUUCCUGAAACGCUGUGGUCCAAAGGUCGCUGGUUCAACUCCAGCUCCAAGCACCAGAUUUCAUUUGUAUGUGCACUGUUCAUCCUUUUUCAUUGACCAGGUGGCUUGAUUGUUGUUUUGGCAAAGUGUGUCGCCGAAGCCACUAUGUUUUCUGCGUUUUUAUCUAUAAGCACCUUCAUAGCUCAUUUGGUAGAGCACAUGACUUUAAGAGGUUCUUGAAACGCUGUGGUCCAAAGGUCGCUGGUUCAACUCCUGCUCCAAACACCAGAUUUCAUUGGUCUAUGCACUGUUCAACCUUUUUCAUUGACCAGGUGGCUUGAUUGUUGUUUUGGCAAAGUGUGUCGCCGAAGCCACUAUGUUUUCUGCGUUUUCAUCUAUAAGCACCUUCAUAGCUCAGUUGGUAGAGCACAUGACUGUAAGAAGUUCCUGAAACGCUGUGGUCCAAAGGUCCCUGGUUCAACUCCAGCUCCAAG